GGGAUGGCCAGAAUCCGGGUACUAGAGCCAUCACAGUUGUCUCCCAGCAUCUACAUUAGCAAGAACCUGGAGCUGGGAAUUGAAGCCAGAUAUUCUGCGGCAGAACAGAGCAUCUUAAUCACUAGGAUCUGACUCUCCUUUAGACUUUGACUUACUUGAGAGUUAUUUGCGAGAAAAGCAAUGGAUGACUGCCCAGAUACUCACUUUCCUGAACCCACAUGAGAGACCUGGAAGAAGUUUUGGCUCCCAGCUUCUAACUUCAGACCCACCACUUCCUGUGCUUGUAGCUAUUUGGGGAAUGAAACAGCAAAUUUGUUUGUUUUUAUCUGAAAGGCAGAUUCACAGAGUGAAGGAGAGCCAGAGUGAAGUCAUCCAUCCACUGAUUCAAUAUAUCAUUAUCCCCUGAGCCAAUCUGAAGCUAGGAGCCUGAACCUUUUCUGGAUCUUCCAUAUAGGUGCAGGUGAUAAAGGACUUGAGCCAUCCUUUGCUGCUUUCUCAGACCAUAAACAGGAAGCCAGACAUUUCAUGGAGCAACUGGGACUUGAACCAGCACGUG